rnacentral:rRNA from 1 species
GGCUGUCGUCAGCUCGUGUCGUGAGAUGUUGGGUUAAGUCCGUAACGAGCGCAACCCUUGUCCUUAGUUACCAGCACGUUAUGGUGGGCACUCUAAGGAGACUGCCGGUGACAAACCGGAGGAAGGUGGGGAUGACGUCAAGUCAUCAUGGCCCUUACGGCCUGGGCUACACACGUGCUACAAUGGUCGGUACAAAGGGUUGCCAAGCCGCGAGGUGGAGCUAAUCCCAUAAAAACCGAUCGUAGUCCGGAUCGCAGUCUGCAACUCGACUGCGUGAAGUCGGAAUCGCUAGUAAUCGUGAAUCAGAAUGUCACGGUGAAUACGUUCCCGGGCCUU